CCUACGGGGUGCAGCAGUGGGGAAUAUUGCACAAUGGGGGAAACCCUGAUGCAGCGACGCCGCGUGAGUGAAGAAGUAUUUCGGUACGUAAAGCUCUAUCAGCAGGGAAGAAAAUGACGGUACCUGACUAAGAAGCCCCGGCUAACUACGUGCCAGCAGCCGCGGUAAUACGUAGGGGGCAAGCGUUAUCCGGAUUUACUGGGUGUAAAGGGAGCGUAGACGGCAGCGCAAGUCUGGAGUGAAAUCCCAUGGCUUAACCAUGGAACUGCUUUGGAAACUGUGCAGCUAGAGUGCAGUAGAGGCAGGCGGAAUUCCCGGUGUAGCGGUGAAAUGCGUAGAGAUCGGGAGGAACACCAGUGGCGAAGGCGGCCUGCUGGGCUUUAACUGACGCUGAAGCACGAAAGCGUGGGUAGCAAACAGGAUUAGAUACCCCAGUAGUC
rnacentral:rRNA from 1 species